GCUGACACAUCCCGGCCAAUCUCCAGCAGACACUCCCUCCUACUUCCUGGACAGCAUCCAUGUUGAAGGCAGCUUCAACAUGGAUGCUGUCCAGGAAGUAGGAGGGUCUGGGAGGGAGUGUCUGCUGGAGAUUGGCUGGGAUGUGUCAG
rnacentral:miRNA from 1 species